rnacentral:rRNA from 1 species
GAUGAACGCUGGCGGCGUGCCUAAUACAUGCAAGUCGAGCGAACAGACGAGGAGCUUGCUCCUCUGACGUUAGCGGCGGACGGGUGAGUAACACGUGGAUAACCUACCUAUAAGACUGGGAUAACUUCGGGAAACCGGAGCUAAUACCGGAUAAUAUAUUGAACCGCAUGGUUCAAUAGUGAAAGACGGUUUUGCUGUCACUUAUAGAUGGAUCCGCGCCGCAUUAGCUAGUUGGUAAGGUAACGGCUUACCAAGGCAACGAUGCGUAGCCGACCUGAGAGGGUGAUCGGCCACACUGGAACUGAGACACGGUCCAGACUCCUACGGGAGGCAGCAGUAGGGAAUCUGCCGCAAUGGGCGAAAGCCUGACGGAGCAACGCCGCGUGAGUGAUGAAGGUCUUCGGAUCGUAAAACUCUGUUAGUAGGGAAGAACAAAUGUGUAAGUAACUAUGCACGUCUUGACGGUACCUAAUCAGAAAGCCACGGCUAACUACG